UAGCUCAAUUGGUAGAGUGCUUGCCUCACAUGCAUAAGGCCCUGGGUUCAAUCCCCAG
rnacentral:tRNA from 1 species